rnacentral:rRNA from 1 species
UACGGAGGAUGCAAGCGUUAUCCGGAUUCAUUGGGUUUAAAGGGUGCGCAGGUUGUUUGAUAAGUCAGUGGUGAAAGUCUGUCGCUUAACGGUAGGAUUGCCAUUGAUACUGUUAGACUUGAAUAUGGAUGAGGUAGGCGGAAUGUGUAGUGUAGCGGUGAAAUGCAUAGAUAUUACACAGAACACCGAUUGCGAAGGCAGCUUACUGGGCCAUUACUGACGCUGAUGCACGAAAGCGUGGGGAUCGAACA